rnacentral:rRNA from 1 species
GUCCACGCCCUAAACGAUGUCUACUAGUUGUCGGGUUUUAAUUAACUUGGUAACGCAGCUAACGCGUGAAGUAGACCGCCUGGGGAGUACGGUCGCAAGAUUAAAACUCAAAGGAAUUGACGGGGACCCGCACAAGCGGUGGAUGAUGUGGAUUAAUUCGAUGCAACGCGAAAAACCUUACCUACCCUUGACAUGGACGGAAGCCCGGAGAGAUUUGGGUGUGCUCGAAAGAGAGCCGUCACACAGGUGCUGCAUGGCUGUCGU